rnacentral:lncRNA from 1 species
UUUAGGGUGUGCUUGAUUUGAAGUCGGAAUCGAAAUGAGAAUAAGCUGGAAACGGAAUCGGAAUGAUUUAUUAUCUUAUUCUAUUUAGUUCGCCACCUGUAUCGGAAUCGGAAUGAAUCAUUUCUAUUGUCGAUGUUUGGUUUUAGAUAGAUAUAAGAAACGUAAUCAAAUUAAUAUGUUAAUUUUAUCUUUGUAAUAUAUUAGUUUAAAUUCAAACUGAAAAUUAAAUAUUAAAAAUUUACGUCCAAAUUUUAAAAUAAUGUCAAAAUUUUAAAUAUAUUUUUUAAAAAAAUAAAAAUUUGAAAUUGAAUGGAUAAUUCAAAAUAUGAAAUUAAAUUUCAUUUUAUUCAAAUUCAAACUUAAAAUUAUAAUUUUAAUUUCAAUUUGAAUCCAUAAAUUUAAUGUAAAUUUUAAAUAAAAUUUGAAUAAAACUUAAUAUUUUAAAUUGAAUUUAAAUUUAAAUUUAUAAAUUAGAUUCAAAAUGCUUGAUUUAAUUUUUAAUUUUUAAUUUAAGUUCAAAUUAAAAUUAAAAUUUACAAAUAUAAUUUUUAAAUUCCAGCUUAUGUUUUAAUUAAAAAAUUAGCUUACAAAAAUUAAAUUUAAUCCGAACAAAUCCAUUCCGCCCGGAUUCAAUUUCCAAUCCGGCCUAGGAGGGGUAAUUGAGAGGAUUCCCAUUCACCUGAGAAUUAGAAUCGAAAUGAAAAUCUCAUAUAUCAAACACGAACAAACGGAUUCGUCCAUUCUGAUUCUGAUUCCAAGGUGGGAACCAAAUAUGUCCUUAGACUCAAUAAUAGUACACCACCCCACAU